rnacentral:rRNA from 1 species
UGGGGAAUAUUGGACAAUGGGGGGAACCCUGAUCCAGCCAUGCCGCGUGUGUGAAGAAGGCCUUAUGGUUGUAAAGCACUUUAAGCGAGGAGGAGGGUACUGGUAUUAAUACUACCAGGUACUGGACGUUACUCGCAGAAUAAGCACCGGCUAACUCUGUGCCAGCAGCCGCGGUAAUACAGAGGGUGCGAGCGUUAAUCGGAUUUACUGGGCGUAAAGCGUGCGUAGGCGGCUAAUUGAGUCGGAUGUGAAAUCCCCGAGCUUAACUUGGGAAUUGCAUUCGAUACUGGUUAGCUAGAGUGUGGGAGAGGAUGGUAGAAUUCCAGGUGUAGCGGUGAAAUGCGUAGGGAACUGGAGGAAUACCGAUGGCGAAGGCAGCCAUCUGGCCUGACACUAACGCUGAGAUAAGAAAGCAUAAGGAGCAAACAGG